rnacentral:misc_RNA from 1 species
UCAAACUUGGUCAUUUAGAGGAAGUAAAAGUCGUAACAAGGUUUCCGUAGGUGAACCUGCGGAAGGAUCAUUACCAAUCCAAAACUUUACAACCCCUGUGAACUUGUAACGUCUUUGGGUGAAAGCAGAGACUUAUUCUAGUGAUUUGGAUAAUAAUCCAUUUUGGGUUAAAAUCCACAGUCUCGAGGAUAAUGUCUUCAGAGUCACCCAUAUGUUUUACAAACCACUUAAAUUUUGUUGAACAACUAUCUUCCAAGCCUCACGGCUCGAAGAUUCUUAUUAAACAAAAUACAACUUUUAACGGUGGAUCUCUUGGCUCAUGCAUCGAUGAAGAACGCAGC